AUUACGGCUCAGUAACACGUGGUUAACCUGCCCUAAGGUGGAGAAUACUCCCGGGAAACUGGGGCUAAUGCUCCAUAGUGGAUAUGUCCUGGAAUGGUAUAUCCUCGAAAGAUCCGUCGCCUUAGGAUGGGACUGCGUCCGAUUAGGUUGUUGGCGGGGUAACGGCCCACCAAGCCAUUGAUCGGUACGGGUUGUGGGAGCAAGAUCCCGGAGAUGGAUUCUGAGACAUGAAUCCAGGCCCUACGGGGCGCAGCAGGCGCGCAAACUUUACAAUGCGAGCAAUCGUGAUAAGGAAACCCUGAGUGCCUGUCGAUGCAGGCUGUUCAUAUAUCUAAAUCAUAUGUGAAGAAAGGGCAGGGCAAGACCGGUGCCAGCAGCCGCGGUAAUAAU
rnacentral:rRNA from 1 species